rnacentral:lncRNA from 1 species
AUGCAGACUGGAGGCUGUAGACAGAGGAGAGAAACAGAGUUAUUCUACCACUGGAGGGUGACCUCCCUCCAUCUCUCUCUCCCUUCAUCUCUCUCUCCCUCCAUCUCUCUCUCCCUUUAUCUCUCUCUCCCUUUAUCUCUCUCUCCCUUUAUCUCUCUCUCCCUUUAUCUCUCUCUCCCUUUAUCUCUCUCUCCCUUUAUCUCUCUCUCCCUUCAUCUCUCUCUCCCUCCAUAUCUCUCUCCCUUCAUCUCUCUCUCCCUUUAUCUCUCUCUCCCUUUAUCUCUCUCUCCCUUUAUCUCUCUCUCCCUUUAUCUCUCUCUCCCUUUAUCUCUCUCUCCCUUUAUCUCUCUCUCCCUUUAUCUCUCUCUCCCUUUAUCUCUCUCUCCCUUUAUCUCUCUCUCCCUUUAUCUCUCUCUCCCUUUAUCUCUCUCUCCCUUUAUCUCUCUCUCCCUUUAUCUCUCUCUCCCUUUAUCUCUCUCUCCCUUUAUCUCUCUCUCCCUUCAUCUCUCUCUCCCUUCAUCUCUCUCUCCCUUCAUCUCUCUCUCCCUCCAUCUCUCUCUCCCUUCAUCUGUCUCUCCAUCUCUUUCUCCCUCCAUCUCUCUCUCCCUUCAUCUCUCUCUCCCUUUAUCUCUCUCUCCCUUUAUCUCUCUCUCCCUUUAUCUCUCUCUCUCCCUUUAUCUCUCUCUCCCUUUAUCUCUCUCUCCCUUUAUCUCUCUCUCCCUUUAUCUCUCUCUCCCUUUAUCUCUCUCUCCCUUUAUCUCUCUCUCCCUUUAUCUCUCUCUCCCUUUAUCUCUCUCUCCCUUCAUCUCUCUCUCCCUUCAUCUCUCUCUCCCUCCAUCUCUCUCUCCCUUCAUCUCUCUCCCUUCAUCUGUCUCUCCAUCUCUUUCUCCCUCCAUCUCUCUCUCCCUUCAUCUCUCUCUCCCUCCAUAUAUCUCUCCCUCCAUAUAUCUCCCUUCAUCUCUUUCUCCCUUCAUCUCUCUCCCUCCAUCUCUCUGUCCCUCCAUCUCUCUCCCUCCAUAUCAAUCUCCCUUCCUCCAUCUCUCUCUUCCUCCAUCUCUCUCUCCCUCCAUCUCUCUCUCCCUACAUCUCUCUCUCCCUACAUCUCUCUCUCCCUCCAUCUCAGCUCUGUGUGUCUUGUAA